UUGAACGCUGGCGGCAUGCUUUACACAUGCAAGUCGAACGGUAACAGGCCUUCGGGUGCUGACGAGUGGCGAACGGGUGAGUAAUGCAUCGGAACGUGCCCAAUCGUGGGGGAUAACGUAGCGAAAGUUACGCUAAUACCGCAUACGCCCUGAGGGGGAAAGCAGGGGAUCUUCGGACCUUGUGCGAAUGGAGCGGCCGAUGUCAGAUUAGGUAGUUGGUGGGGUAAAGGCUCACCAAGCCGACGAUCUGUAGCUGGUCUGAGAGGACGACCAGCCACACUGGGACUGAGACACGGCCGAGACUCCUACGGGAGGCAGCAGUGGGGAAUUUUGGACAAUGGGCGAAAGCCUGAUCCAGCAAUGCCGCGUGCAGGAAGAAGGCCUUCGGGUUGUAAACUGCUUUUGUACGGAGCGAAAAGGCUCUCUCUAAUACAGGGGGCUCAUGACGGUACCGUAAGAAUAAGCACCGGCUAACUACGU
rnacentral:rRNA from 1 species